rnacentral:SRP_RNA from 1 species
GCCAGGAGUGGUGGCACACACCUGUAGUCCCUACUACUCGGGAAGCUGAGGUGGGAAGAUUGCUUAAGCUCAGAAGUUCUGGGUUAUAAUGAUUGGGUGUCUGCACUAAGCUUGGCGUCAAUAUGGUGACCUCUUGGGAGUGGGGGAUCACCAGGUUAUCUAAGAAGAGGUGAACCAGCCCAGGUCAGAAACGGAGCAGGUCAAAACUCAUGGGCUGACCAGUAGUGGGAUCACCCCCGUGAAAGCCACUGUAAUCCAGCCUGGGCAACACACUGCAACCCUGUCUCUC